rnacentral:lncRNA from 1 species
GAAAAUCGAAUACUAGUUUUGAAAAUAGAGUAAUUGGAGACUGCCUGCUUGUGUUGCAAAUUUAUGGUUUUGAAUUGAAUGGCUUAUGACAAUAAAUGAGCAUGAAUGGCUAAACUGAUUUUGGUGUUAGAAUUAUUUAUACUGUGUAUUCAGCCUUGAGAGGCUAGGUUACGAUAAAUUGCCAUGUCAUGUUAGAAUGAAUUUUAU